GUCUACGGCCGUGCCACCCUGAACAAGCCCCAUGUCUGAUCUCGGAAGCUAAGCAGGGUCGGGCCUGGUUAGUAGUUGGAUGGGAGACCACCUAGGAAGACCAGGUGCUUUAGGCA
rnacentral:rRNA from 1 species